rnacentral:ncRNA from 19 species
GGGGAUGAUGUGAGGGUAGGUGGCUGAGAAGUGAUGACCUAAUCGGCCCUGACC